ensembl:ncRNA F45H7.9 ncRNA
GCUGGUGGUGAAAAGGAGGGUUGUGUUUAACUUUUCAUCACUUGGGCAAACAGGAGGCCAAACACUUUUUCUCCUCGAAAUCUAAAACCAUUUAAAGUGGUUUUAUUGUUGCAAAAUGAAAAACGGCCACAACAGGGAACGAACCUGGG